rnacentral:rRNA from 1 species
AUUGAACGCUGGCGGCAGGCUUAACACAUGCAAGUCGAGCGGAGCGAGGGUGCUUGCACCUUAGCUUAGCGGCGGACGGGUGAGUAAUGCUUAGGAAUCUGCCUAUUAGUGGGGGACAACAUUCCGAAAGGAAUGCUAAUACCGCAUACGCCCUACGGGGGAAAGCAGGGGAUCUUCGGACCUUGCGCUAAUAGAUGAGCCUAAGUCGGAUUAGCUAGUUGGUGGGGUAAAGGCCUACCAAGGCGACGAUCUGUAGCGGGUCUGAGAGGAUGAUCCGCCACACUGGGACUGAGACGCGGCCCAGACUCCUACGGGAGGCAGCAGUGGGGAAUAUUGGACAAUGGGCGGAAGCCUGAUCCAGCCAUGCCGCGUGUGUGAAGAAGGCCUUUUGGUUGUAAAGCACUUUAAGCGAGGAGGAGGCUACUUAGAUUAAUACUCUGGGAUAGUGGACGUUACUCGCAGAAUAAGCACCGGCUAACUCUGUGCCAGCAGCCGCCGUAA